rnacentral:rRNA from 1 species
UACGGAGGGGGCUAGCGUUGUUCGGAAUUACUGGGCGUAAAGCGCACGUAGGCGGCUUUGCAAGUCAGAGGUGAAAGCCCGGGGCUCAACCCCGGAAUUGCCUUUGAGACUGCAUCGCUAGAAUUGUGGAGAGGUAAGUGGAAUUCCGAGUGUAGAGGUGAAAUGCGCAGAUAUCGGGAGGAACACCGGUGGCGAAGGCGGUUCUCUGGGCCUGUACUGACGCUGAGGAGCGAAAGCGUGGGGAGCAAACAGG